GCUGCUUCCAGAGUUCGUGUAUUUCUUGUUCGUGAGUUGGGGAUUCGUACAGUUUGGAGUUCGGGAAGUUGGUGAUUGCAAUAGCUGCUGGUCUAUGGGAAAGGGGAUUAUCGCCUAAACGGAUUUAUCCCUUUGUGAGAGAAACGGUCCGUUACAAUUGGUGGCAGCGGUGGGAUCGUUCCUACAACCAGAAAGACAGCUACAGGGCAACACCAUUCCUUGGAUUACAAAGUGAGGGCAACGCCAGUACACGUACAGCGACCCUAUCGACAAAAGAAC